CAAAAACAUAGCUAGAUGUAUUAUAUAUUUAGUUUUUUCUGCUCAAUGGUAAACUAAAUAGCCGCAGUACCCUGACUGUGCAAAGGUAGCAUAAUCAUUUGGCUUAUAAUUGAAGUCUGGCAUGAAGGAAUCAAUGGAUAACUACUGUCUUUUUGAAUUAACAGAAAUUACUUAAUAGGUGAAAAUACCUAUAUAUAGAUAAUAGACGAGAAGACCCUAGAAAUUUUAUAUAAAAUAAUAUAUAGGUAUUAUUGAUAUUUUGUUGGGGCGACAGAAUAACAGUUAACUUAUUUUAUUAGUUGGAACUAUAUAGUGAGAUAAAUUAAAUUACUCUAGGGAUAACAGCAUAAUUUAUUAAAGUUUGUGACCUCGAUGUUGGACUAGGGUAUAUAGUGUCUAGAAGAUAUUAUAGUUGGCUCUGUUCGAGCCGUGUUCCCUACGUGAUCU
rnacentral:rRNA from 1 species